rnacentral:rRNA from 1 species
CCUACGGGCGGCAGCAGUGAGGAAUAUUGGUCAAUGGCCGUAAGGCUGAACCAGCCAAGUAGCGUGAGGGAAGACUGCCCUAUGGGUUGUAAACCUCUUUUAUGCGGGGAUAAAGGUGUCCACGCGUGGAUGUUUGCAGGUACCGCAUGAAUAAGGACCGGCUAAUUCCGUGCCAGCAGCCGCGGUAAUACGGAAGGUCCGGGCGUUAUCCGGAUUUAUUGGGUUUAAAGGGAGCGUAGGCCGGUCUUUAAGCGUGCCGUGAAAUUUUGUGGCUCAACCAUGAGAGUGCGGCGCGAACUGGAGAACUUGAGUGCGCGGAAGGCAGGCGGAAUUCGUGGUGUAGCGGUGAAAUGCUUAGAUAUCACGAAGAACCCCGAUUGCGAAGGCAGCCUGCCGCAGCGUUACUGACGCUGAAGCUCGAAAGUGUGGGUAUCAAACAGGAUUAGAUACCCGGGUAGUC